GUUUUUUGUCCAGGUUUUAAAAGAUGCCUAGGAAACCACGGUACAACGUUAUACGAGAACCCCCGAAAGAUGCCGGAACUAAUGCCAGAACUGAAGAGACAACGAUUGCAUGAUGGUGACUUGCUCAGAGCCAUUGACAAAUACACCUCCUGGAUCUCCUUGUGGUUGUGUGGCCACUUCAAGUUAAACUCCACAUCAGCAUUGCAAUAUACAAGUUCUUCCCUUUGGUUUUCAAGUUAGCUGAGGAAAUUGCAGCCAGUCUUUUGUUGAGUCGCAACCAGGUUCGCA